GACGAACGCUGGCGGCGUGCUUAACACAUGCAAGUCGAACGGAAAGGCCCUGCUUGCAGGGUACUCGAGUGGCGAACGGGUGAGUAACACGUGGGUGAUCUGCCCUGCACUUCGGGAUAAGCCUGGGAAACUGGGUCUAAUACCGGAUAGGAGCCAUUUUUAGUGUGAUGGUUGGAAAGUUUUUUCGGUGUAGGAUGAGCUCGCGGCCUAUCAGCUUGUUGGUGGGGUAAUGGCCUACCAAGGCGGCGACGGGUAGCCGGCCUGGGAGGGUGGACGGCCACAUUGGGACUGAGAUACGGCCCAGACUCCUACGGGAGGCAGCAGUGGGGAAUAUUGCACGAUGGGCGCAAGCCUGAUGCAGCGACGCCGCGUGGGGGAUGACGGCCUUCGGGUUGUAAACUCCUUUCGCUAGGGACGAAGCUUUUUGUGACGGUACCUAGAGAAGAAGCACCGGCUAACUACGUG
rnacentral:rRNA from 1 species